UUUCCGUAGGUGAACCUGCGGAAGGACCAUUAACACUUUUUUUAAAGAGUUGGGAUUAUUUCGAAAGAACUAAUCUCAAUUUCUUUCUUACCCACAUUUUGGAUGAAUUUGUCAGUUUAGAAAAAGAACAAUCUUCUUUUUCUAACUAUUUUUUUUCUUCAACUUUUUAACCCCAAACCUUUUUAUAUAACUUGCAAAGACUGACAUAAAAGGAUUACUUGUCUAAUCCAUUUUACAUAAAAAAAGCUAAGAAACAACUCUUAACAACGGAUAUCUUGGCUCUC
rnacentral:misc_RNA from 1 species